UACGUAGGGUGCGAGCGUUAAUCGGAAUUACUGGGCGUAAAGCGUGCGCAGGCGGUUUGGUAAGACAGAUGUGAAAUCCCCGGGCUUAACCUGGGAAUGGCAUUUGUGACUGCCCGGCUAGAGUGUGUCAGAGGGGGGUAGAAUUCCACGUGUAGCAGUGAAAUGCGUAGAUAUGUGGAGGAAUACCGAUGGCGAAGGCAGCCCCCUGGGAUAACACUGACGCUCAUGCACGAAAGCGUGGGGAGCAAACAGG
rnacentral:rRNA from 1 species